AGAGCGAACGCUGGCGGCAGGCUUAACACAUGCAAGUCGAACGCGUGUAGCAAUACACGAGUGGCGCACGGGUGAGUAACGCGUGGGCAUCUGCCUCAUGGUUCGGAAUAACCCCGGGAAACUGGGGCUAAUACCGGAUGGUACCUUCGGGUUAAAGAUUUAUCGCCAUGAGAUGAGCCCGCGUCCGAUUAGCUAGUUGGUGAGGUAACGGCUCACCAAGGCGACGAUCGGUAGCUGGUCUGAGAGGACGAUCAGCCACACUGGGACUGAGACACGGCCCAGACUCCUACGGGAGGCAGCAGUGGGGAAUAUUGGACAAUGGGGGCAACCCUGAUCCAGCCAUGCCGCGUGAGUGAUGAAGGCCUUCGGUUGUAAGCUCUUUGUGCGGAGAUAAUGACGGUACGCAGAAUAAGCCCGGCUAACUUCGCGCCAGCAGCCGC
rnacentral:rRNA from 1 species